rnacentral:rRNA from 1 species
GGCAGAGAUGCCUUAGUGCCUUCGGGAACCGUGAGACAGGUGCUGCAUGGCUGUCGUCAGCUCGUGUUGUGAAAUGUUGGGUUAAGUCCCGCAACGAGCGCAACCCUUAUCCUUUGUUGCCAGCGAUUCGGUCGGGAACUCAAAGGAGACUGCCGGUGAUAAACCGGAGGAAGGUGGGGAUGACGUCAAGUCAUCAUGGCCCUUACGAGCAGGGCUACACACGUGCUACAAUGGCGCAUACAAAGAGAAGCGACCUCGCGAGAGCAAGCGGACCUCACAAAGUGCGUCGUAGUCCGGAUCGGAGUCUGCAACUCGACUCCGUGAAGUCGGAAUCGCUAGUAAUCGUGGAUCAGAAUGCCACGGUGAAUACGUUCCCGGGCCUUGUACACACCGCCCGUCACACCAUGGGAGUGGGUUGCAAAAGAAGUAGGUAGCUUAACCUUCGGGAGGGCGC